UACGGAGGGUGCAAGCGUUGUCCGGAUUUAUUGGGUUUAAAGGGUGCGCAGGCGGGAAGGUUAGUUUGUGGUGAAAGACGAUCGCUCAACGAUUGCAGUGCCAUGAAUACUGCCUUUCUUGAAUCUGGUUGAGGCCGGUGGAAUUGACCGUGUAGCGGUGAAAUGCAUAGAUAUGGUCAAGAACUCCAAUUGCGUAGGCAGCCGGCUGGGCCAGUAUUGACGCUCAGGCACGAGAGUGCGGGGAUCAAACAGG
rnacentral:rRNA from 1 species